rnacentral:rRNA from 1 species
UUCCAGACUCCUACGGGAGGCAGCAGUGAGGAAUAUUGGUCAAUGGGCGGGAGCCUGAACCAGCCAAGUCGCGUGAGGGAAGACGGUCCUAUGGAUUGUAAACCUCUUUUGUCGGGGAGCAAAGCGAACCACGUGUGGUUCAUUGAGAGUACCCGAAGAAAAAGCAUCGGCUAACUCCGUGCCAGCAGCCGCGGUAAUACGGAGGAUGCGAGCGUUAUCCGGAUUUAUUGGGUUUAAAGGGUGCGCAGGCGGAGGUGCAAGUCAGCGGUCAAAUUGCGGGGCUCAACCCCGUACUGCCGUUGAAACUGCAUCCCUUGAGUGCGCGAGAAGUAUGCGGAAUGCGUGGUGUAGCGGUGAAAUGCAUAGAUAUCACGCAGAACUCCGAUUGCGAAGGCAGCAUACCGGCGCCCGACUGACGCUGAGGCACGAAAGCGUGGGUAUCGAACAGGAUUAGAUACCCGAGUAAG